rnacentral:lncRNA from 1 species
ACGCUGUAUUGGUGCAGGUACUUCUGUCAAUAUUCUGUAGGGCGCUACUGACAGAGGAAGAGGUGUAAGAGUUCUGAGUCAACUGCUGGAAGAAGCUUUUGCCCACUGCUCCUUCAAGUUCUGCAGCUCAGUCACAUUGAGGAUACUGCCAAAAUUAAAACCUUCUCAGUAGGCAAAAUGGGAGGAUGGAUCCCAUUUGCAGCUCUUUUCCUGCAGGAUGGCUGUGCCACCUCCCACUCCUUCACCUUGCCUGCACUGUUGCCAGUUCCCAACAACCCAUCUACUUGUGAAGUCUGACUCAAAGGGCGAGCUCUUGCUUUCCCCUUGCCCCCCUUCAGACAGUGGGCAGGAUGCUGAGAGCAGCCCAGAGCUGAGAUAAUAAAUACUGUUGUGAAAAUCCUCUUAAAAUAUCCCAAGGAUUAUUUAAUUACGCCAUCACACUGCAGGAAUGCAAUGUGCUGAGGCUCUCACACAGUGAUCCCACCAGAGCUGAGGAUGCACCAUAGAAGCAGGGACACAGGGCUGUGUUCAGCCCGAUGCCAUGGGAAGACCAAACCUCUGAGUCUGCCCACUGGAAACACCCUCCAGUUUCCCACUGGGUAGCUCAGUUGUCCCAGAACCCGGCGGCCCCAUGAGCUGUAUUUCCAGAAGCAGGGCAAGCAGUGAUAUUUUACCAUCUAAUCCCAUAUAACUGUUGGCUCAACUUUUAUUCUGGCUUUCUUACACAGCGAGAAAUUCUGCGUAUCCUUUGAGCAGCUCAGGCAAUCACUCAUUGCUCACAGUGCUGAGUGCGGGGCUGUGGGCGCUCGGUAAGGAUUAUGACAUUUAGAAUGGAGUAAAUAGCAAGCACCUCCACUCCAGGCAGGGAUUAACUCCACACUCCUCUGCUCUAAAAAUAAAUAUUUUGACUCAAGGAGAACAAACUAAUGAACACUUCCAUGCUGGCAUUCCUACACCAGGGAAAUGCAGCCCACAUAUGGCCAUGACCAGAGAAGAAAGCCUACGAAAAGCAGUCUGAUCUGCUUAACAACUCAACAUAAAUGAAAGACGGGAGAAAGAGAGCCCAGUCACUUAGACCAGAUCAGAGUCAUAGAAUCACAGCAUCUUUAAGCUUGGAAGAGAUCACAAGGAUCAUCUAGUCCAACCAUCAACCCACCACACUUGCUAAACAGAGAUGCAAAUCGAUGUGGAAAAACCAAAAGCUUAAUGAAAAUAAACUUAGGAGACGGGGUAGAUUCUGAAGUGUUUGCACGGCGUAUUUUUAUGAAGAUAUUUCCUAACUUCAGCAGAAGCUGUGGGUUUGGCAGACGUGUUACGGGCAGCACAGCACACACGCUCCCAUGGCGCUCCCUACAUUGGUCCCAUUGGUGCUUUAGAACCCGCAUCCAAUGGGAGAGAGAUGCUUUAGUGCUAAGGCAGAGAAUCAAGCACUAGGAUAAGAUGGAAAAUAGUAAUAAUAAUAAAAACACAUAUUGGAUCCUUCUUUCCUUCCUUGUCACCGCACCUGGGACGCUGACACUGCCGCACUGAGCCCCACGUCCAACUAACUGCAGACUGAUGCGACCUCGGAUAUUUUUUGCAAACCAGGAGGCACGGCAGGAUCUCACAGCAGGAGGACAAAUUCAUUUCGUAAAAGGUAUUUAUAUAGUUCAAUAGGUGUGUGCACUGCUUUAGAGGUAUAAAACACGAGAUCCCUGCCCUAAGGGGCUUAUAAUCUAAUAACAUAUACUAGGUAAAUUAAAACAUACAUCACGGCCGCGCCGCAUGCCCGCCCCAGCCCAGGCGGAGGGCAGUUGAGCCAUAUGACAAGGCAGAACUCAAUUUUCAUUUCAGAUUUGUAGUUUGCCUUUAAACAGGCAGCGCUCCCUAACCCCCAAGCGAGGGAGAAAUUUAUCAGCAUUACAUCUGGGGGUAGGGAGGGCUCCGGCGCGGGAUCAUUUAUUAAUUGUUAUUUAUUAUCUGUUAAACAAGGACAGCGUGUGCAGCAAUAGCAUUCCUUUCUCUGGAUUAAUUGUCGCCGCACGAUUCCAAGGUUUUAUAUUUUUAGCAGCCCUGUUCUGGUGUAACCCACUGAAAGGGGGGGAAACGGAACAGGCACUCACACAAUUAGUGUAAUGAGAGUAAUUAAUUUGAAAAUAAUACCCAGGGGGUGGGAGGGUUAAGGCUUUCUUUUUAAGGAAAUAAAAGUCG